AAAGUACAUACUAAUCGACCAUGGUUGGCAAUAAAAUUAUAUAUGAACGAUACAUGCCAUGUAUUCUCUAGUUUGAUGUAAACACUGGAUGUCGGUAAGUUUUAAACAGCUAACAUAAAUGGUAUUACAUUGAUUCAUUUCCAACAAAAACUACAUACUAACUAUGGUUAGCGGUAAAAGUUUUAUAUGAAAGACAUGUGUUGUGUAUUUAUUAGUUUGAUAUAAACACCGGGCGUCUGUAGUUUUUACCGCUGCUAUAUAAAUGUGAUUACAAUGAUUCAUUUCCUUUAUUUACAUUUUCAUGCUGUUGGCAGGAUUACAUGGGAAGAUGCAUACUGACAUUGACAAGAGUACUAAUGGAAGGUGAAUAUAAAGAAACCUUUGAAUUAGAUGGAGCUAAAUCAGGGAAACUCAACUUGCAUCUCAAAUGGGCACCACAACUACAGGGACUCCUAAUGAUAAAAAAGUUUAGGAAUGUUUUUUGUUGUUGUAAGACUUGUACACAAUAGAAGUUAUUUUGUAUCUGUACGACUACGUCAUAGGCAGUGACAAUUUGUAGAAUUGAACAUUUUUGUAGAUAAUUGUUUGAUUAAUGCAGAGGAGAGAUAAAUGUAAAGCUGUAAAACUUCUGAAGUAAAGCUGAAGCUGGAGAAAGAAUAAAAUGUAGUAUAAGCUUACAUAUAUAAACUUAAGAGUAAGGUGUUUGUUUGGUUAGAUGUAUUAUUAGAAAUAAUAUAGGGAUUUAAUUAUGAAUUAAUAAUAUUGUACUCCCCUUAAGAAUGUAGUUGCUUUUUUACUUGUUCAUAAUGCAUUUUGUACUAUCCUUAAGAAAACAUCAAUUAAGUAUUUAUUUUACUAAAUUACCCUUAUUAAUGAUAAUUAAUACUAGUAUCACUUUUGACUACUAAUUCUCAAAUAAUUUGAAAAAUUACGACUUGAUGUAUAAGAGUGAAUUAGAAAAAAAAUAAAUUGAUUUUCUAUUGAUUCUCUUGAAUGGAGAAGUGAAAAAGAACUUUUAUCUUAGUAGGCUAUUCUUUUUUAACGCUCAUUAACAGAGUUAUCAUAUAAAACUAUCCUAAAAGUGGGAACCUUAAAAGUUAGAAUUUGAAUUACCAAAAUAUUGACAAAACCUAGUCCAAAAACAUGUGCCCUAAGAUACAAGUGCAACGCACGUAUCCAAAAACUAGUCAAUCAAAUAACACAACAAUAAAAAUGUAAUACGCAGCUGUUUCAACAUGAAAGAGUUUCAAUCAUCUUCGGGGAACUUUACAAGGACUUAACACUUCCAUAAUGACAUGAUGCUGCCACAAACAUCAUAAAUUCUUGUUUUUAUGACCAAUACAACUAGUGCAGCACGAGAGUUAGCACGAGAGUUUAGUGUCCUGGGCUGCCCUUUCAAUACAACUAGUAGUAAGGUAGCUGGAUCCUUUCUUCAACAAAGUACAUAGAUUUUGAAACUGGACAGUAGGACCACGGCAUAAAACUGCCUCUAGGUUGACAACAUGCUUGAUAAACUAUGUUUCAGAACCGUGCAGGCCUUUCUGAGAUGACAGUGUAGAUGAUUCUUAUUCAACUUUCUCCUGCGACGAGCACUUCCCCUGCAUAAUCAUGACUUGCACUCAUUAGUCAAUGGGAGACAUCAACGAUAAAAAAAAAAAA
rnacentral:lncRNA from 1 species